UGGAUGGUCGUAAGGCUACGGGGGGUAAGCUGGAGGUGAGGGUGAAGAUUCGGGAGCCGCUGGGAGGAGCACAGCUUCAGAUCACCACAGAGAAAUGGCUGGUCCUCGACCCUGAACCAAUCACCACCCCCGACAGAGAGAGAGAACAACAGGGCCCCUCUCCUCGCUCCAAACCAAAGAGUGACAAUGGGAGGAACAAGCAGUCUAACCAGUCCAGCCACUCUCCUCCCCAGUAUAAACUCCACAGUUUCAGUCUAAUGCACUACGAUAAGGAGAGACUGGAGAGACAGAUUGGUGAUUACAGGAAGAGUAGGCGGGAUCCUCCGUCUGACCUGGUACAGCAACACAAGGAGGUCACACACAGGCUGCAGUGGCAGAAAGCCCAGCUAGAGAGAGGCUCCCCUACUCUACUGUUAGAGUAUGAGAAUAUUUUGCAGCGUUUUGCCCAGGGACUUGCUGAGUCAGUGAAGAGGUUUUCCAGCCAAGGCAACAGGGAUGCUGCUAACGACGCUCUCGGACGGCUGAAGAUGGUGGGGACUGAGUUGGAAUCUCUGAAGAGGAAACGCCUGGUCUGAGAAGAGGAGGACAGAGGGAGAGUUGGCUGGAGUACUGUUAUGUUACUCACACACACACAGCCAAUCACCUUCGACAUCUUCCUGCCACUCCUCUCUGCCUCCUCCACUAAUGCUCUUCCUUUUACUCUGUUCUUUACUUUUGUAUUGUCAUUCAUUCAAUCAGUUAGGAAGAAGAACCCGUUUGACUAAAACAGGCCUGCCUCCCAAAUGGCACCCUAUUCCCUAUAUAGUGCACUACUUUAGACCAGGGCCCAUAGGGACUGAUAUAGGGAAUAGGGCACCAUCGAGAUACACGGCAGAAUGGGAUCCUGUGAGAUUGAUAGUGACAUGAAGACAGAAUGCAGGGCAGGACAGAGAAUGUCUUAUUUGCACUUGAAAACAAAAACACUACCGAUUAUUACCAAAACCCUGCCGCCUUCACUAUAGUCUUUCAAGUCCUUCAAUGGCUCUCUCUCUUUCUCUCUGUUCAGAGUGGUGUGUGUAACUCCUGGUCUCCGCAUUGUGUGUGUGCCUGCGACGUUAAUGAGCUUAAUCUAAUCUGUCUGCUCCACUAUUCCCAGAUUACUGUAAUAUGACCCGUUUGGUGCCGUGUGAUAUGGGAACGACACGGAAACGGGAACUAUAUCCCAUAAUGAGGGAUUAGCUAACACUGGUGUCGCCAUGGAGACGUCUCAUUCAGGGAAGUGAGGAGAGGAGGUACCCCAGGGGUUAAAUUGAAGAGGACAGGAUGAGAAUUGGUGUAGAACAGACCAGUAGCUGUAAAACCCACUGGAUUAUCUUUGAAUUGGGAUAGAGGUUCUCUAUUCAUUGUAAUGCUAUGGUACGGAGUCUGGGAGCCCGUUUAAAAGGACCCCUCUUAUAGGACCAUAUUUAGCCUAUUGUGAUGUCAUCAAUUAGGCUUGCGUCAUGUCCCUAUGACGUCAUCUGUUAGAAUGUUGAAAGGACUGCGUCAUCACCGCAUUGUGAUGUCAUCAGUUAGAAGGUGUGUUCCUCUGUUCAGACGUUGCUGACGCCAGAUCUUACAUCGCCUGGAUAGGUGUUUUACAUAUCAGCUAAACACAUCACAUGUUAAAGCAAUCUGGUGCACCGUUGAUGACGUGGCGUGCAACCAGUGGUUGAUGCAUUUGACAUCUGAGCAGAGAGACACAACCAGAAUGUUUAACAAAGGAUCGCUUCAUCUGGUUGUGAUGUCAUCAGUUGGAAUGUUCUACAAAGGGCUACAUCCAAUUAUGAUGUCAGAAUCCCAGAAUAAAGCACGAUGAGUAAACUGUCACUAUGACCUGAGUCAGAACCUGAAGCAGAUACAGUAUGUGACUUCAUCCGUGUCCAAGCUGGCCUGAUGUCGGCCCCAAAUCCUACAGGGAUCCUCUAAGAAUGAGAAGAAGAGGCUUCAGUGCACUUCCUGUUCCUCGUUCCGAAUGUCAUGGGCAGGAAAUGCGCGCUUUACUUACUGACUUCCAGACAGGCAGAGAGAGGGACAGGCAGACGGGCAGAGAGAGAGACGGGCAGAGAGAGGGACAGGCAGACGGGCAGAGAGAGGGACAGGCAGACGGGCAGAGAGAGGGACAGGCAGACGGGCAGAGAGAGGGACAGGCAGACUGGCAGAGAGAGGGACAGGCAGACUGGCAGAGAGAGGGACAGGCAGACGGGCAGAGAGAGGGACAGACGGGCAGACUGGCAGAGAGAGGGACAGGCAGACGGGAGACACAGGCAGAGCUUGUCAGAGGGGACACUGUUUAGUCAGUGUGGUUUGGCCGUGGUGGGCCGGGGACCACAGCUGCCUAUAGUGUUGAGGUCAGACCCUUUAUUCAGAUUUUGGGUAGGGAAAGGAGGUCUCAUCCUCUACCCCUCUAUAUACCCAGACACCCUGAGGUCUCCUCCUGUACCCCUCUAUAGACCCAGACACCCUGAGGUGUCCUCCUCUACCCCUCUAUAUACCCAGACACCCUGAGGUCUCCUCCUCUACCCCUCUAUAGACCCAGACACCCUGAGGUCUCCUCCUGUACCCCUCUAUAGACCCAGACACCCUGAGGUCUCCUCCUGUACCCCUCUAUAUACCCAGACACCCUGAGGUCUCCUCCUCUACCCCUCUAUAUACCCAGACACCCUGAGGUCUCCUCCUGUACCCCUCUAUAUACCCAGACACCCUGAGGUCUCCUCCUGUACCCCUCUAUAGACCCAGACACCCUGAGGUCUCCUCCUCUACCCCUCUAUUAACCCAGACACCCUGAGGUCUCCUCCUGUACCCCUCUAUAUACCCAGACACCCUGAGGUCUCCUCCUGUACCCCUCUAUAUACCCAGACACCCUGAGGUCUCCUCCUGUACCCCUCUAUAGACCCAGACACCCUGAGGUCUCCUCCUCUACCCCUCUAUUAACCCAGACACCCUGAGGUCUCCUCCUGUACCCCUCUAUAUACCCAGACACCCUGAGGUCUCCUCCUGUACCCCUCUAUAUACCCAGAUACCCUGAGGUCUCCUCCUCUACCCCUCUAUAGACCCAGACACCCUGAGGUCUCCUCCUGUACCCCUCUAUAUACCCAGACACCCUGAGGUCUCCUCCUGUACCCCUCUAUAUACCCAGACACCCUGAGGUCUCCUCCUGUACCCCUCUAUAUACCCAGAUACCCUGAGGUCUCCUCCUCUACCCCUCUAUAGACCCAGACACCCUGAGGUCUCCUCCUGUACCCCUCUAUAUACCCAGACACCCUGAGGUCUCCUCCUCUACCCCUCUAUAUACCCAGACACCCUGAGGUCUCCUCCUCUACCCCUCUAUAUACCCAGACACCCUGAGGUCUCCUCCUGUACCCCUCUAUAGACCCAGACACCCUGAGGUCUCCUCCUCUACCCCUCUAUAAACCCAGACACCCUGAGGUCUCCUCCUCUACCCCUCUAUAGACCCAGACACCCUGAGGUCUCCUCCUCUACCCCUCUAUAGACCCAGACACCCUGAGGUCUCCUCCUCUACCCCUCUAUAGACCCAGACACCCUGAGGUCUCCUCCUCUACCCCUCUAUAGACCCAGACACCCUGAGGUCUCCUCCUCUACCCCUCUAUAUACCCAGACACCCUGAGGUCUCCUCCUCUACCCUUCUAUAUACCCAGACACCCUGAGGUCUCCUCCUCUACCCUUCUAUAUACCCAAACACCCUGAGGUCUCCUCCUGUACCCCUCUAUAUACCCAGACACCCUGAGGUCUCCUCCUGUACCCCUCUAUAUACCCAGACACCCUGAGGUCUCCUCCUCUACCCUUCUAUAUACCCAGACACCCUGAGGUCUCCUCCUGUACCCCCUAUCGGUCUCUCUCCUCUCUCUCUCUCUACACUACAACAGUAAUUUAGUAGCCUACUGUAGUGGGAUCUGUCUCUGUAUCCACAGCAUCUGAGUUGGAGUGCUGAUCCAGGAUCAGGUUCCAACCUGUCCAUAUAAUCUGAUUCAUUAUGAGCUAAAAGGCAAAACUGAUCCUACAUUAUGAAUCACUCCAUACUAGAUACUCUGAGAAGCUUUGAGGAUAGAGGCCGAGUCCCCCAGUCCUGGUGGCUAAACUGAUCCUAGAUCAGCACUGCUGCUCUGAGAAGCUUUGUAGAAACAGGCCCAGUCCCCCAGUCCUGGUGGCUAAACUGAUCCUAGAUCAGCACUGCCGCUCUGAGAAGCUUUGUGGAUACAGGCCCAGUCCUGGUGGCUAAACUGAUCCUAGAUCAGCACUGCUGCUCUGAGAAGCUUUGUGGAAACAGGCCCAGUCCCCCAGUCCUGGUGGCUAAACUGAUCCCAGAUCAGCACCGUUUUUUGUUUAGUUUGUUUUUUUUAUGUUGAAAACAUGUAUCCAUUGUUGGCAAUCAGUCAGAAAAGACCUGUUUAAUAUGUUAUAUAUACAGCAUUGACUAUGGCUCUAUUUUUAAAUGAAGAACGUGUGUGUGUCCAAAGGUGAUGGAGAAUGAACUAUUAACUGGCAUUAUAAUGAUGUGGUCAAAUGUCUUGGGAAUCAUGGUUGGAUUAAAUACCAGAAUGAAUUAA